GUAAUUGUUUUGAAAAGAAAGAUCGCUGAUGAAAAAAUAAAUUGUUAAUAACAUAAAUCAUCAAUGACAUGAGAUAUCAUUCUAGAAGAGCUAGAAUUCUAACCUUGUGCCAGGACCUACGAGCCAAGGGAUAGUUUCAGGUAGACAAUUUCUAUGGGGAAUAGGUCUCCCAAAAGGCAACGGAGGUGUGCAAUGGUUUCCUCGGGCCAGACGGAAAUUGGCCCUCGAGUGUAUGAGCAGAAGGGAGCAUGACUGCAAGACCCACCCGUCGAGAAGGGACGAAAGAAAUAUAAUAAUGGAAUGAACGUUGAUGGAAAUAGAACACAUUGUUAUAAUC
rfam:Lupinus angustifolius cultivar Tanjil contig_25393, whole genome shotgun sequence.